GUGCUCCCCCGCCAUUUCCUUUGCCCCAUUCACACUCAUCCAUCCACCUCCACCUAUUUGCCGUACUCCGCAGCUUAUCCCUGAGCACUCUACUCAAGAAUGGGCUCUGCGGUUUCUUGAACCUCAAAAAAGGAACAUUUGUCGUUUGUGUCAAUAUCGGGACUCUUCUUCGCCCAGUUAGUUCGGAGAAAGGUAGGGGUCGGAUCUUGAGGGUUUUGGCUGCGCCUGGAUACUCCCAGACGCGAGGACGCUCGCGAGGAACGGGUUGGGCGCAAACUAACCGCGAGGCGGCGGCGCGGGAGGAGAUGUGUUGGAGGUGGGUGUAGACUCGGGUUAUGGCUGGCUGGGAACCGGACGCUGCGGCGCGAAGGUCGGCUUCGAUCUGUAAUAUCAACCAUUAGUCCUACUUUCUUGUCUAAAAUUCCGCACGCAUUGAGCUCCGAAGCUUCUCCUCAUUUGCGCGGGAAUAGACGAAAACUAGAGAGAGCACGUACAGCAUAACCCUCCCUCAAGCUCUCCACAAUUUUCACCUUACUCUCCAGCGCGACAUUCUUUUUGAAUUUCUUCCUGACCAGAUGCUUGAUUGGGUUCACCGGGCCAUUGAAUGAGGCCGUAAGCUCGGCUGGGAGGGGGAUAUUGUUAUGAUGGGAGAGUAGCGCGCGGUAAAGUGCUUUGCCUGAGCAAUUCGUUAGUCGAGCUCAGGGGAAGCAAGUGAGGCACAGUAAAAAGAAGAGAGAGCGAAGGAAACCGGAAAGAGACGUACAUGCUAUACGGUGAGCAUAAGAGACCCGUGGGAGGAAUUGGCGGGGGAGCA
rnacentral:rRNA from 1 species